UACGCAGGGGGCUAGCGUUGCUCGGAAUCACUGGGCGUAAAGUGUGCGUAGGCGGGUCUUUACGUCAGGGGUGAAAUCCUGGAGCUCAACUCCAGAACUGCCUUUGAUACUGAAGAUCUUGAGUUCGGGAGAGGUGAGUGGAACUGCGAGUGUAGAGGUGAAAUUCGUAGAUAUUCGCAAGAACACCAGUGGCGAAGGCGGCUCACUGGCCCGAUACUGACGCUGAGGCACGAAAGCGUGGGGAGCAAACAGG
rnacentral:rRNA from 1 species